UACGUAGGGUCCGAGCGUUGUCCGGAUUUAUUGGGCGUAAAGAGCUCGUAGGCGGUUCCGUAAGUCAGGGGUGAAAUCCUGGAGCUCAACUCCAGAACUGCCUUUGAUACUGGCGACCUUGAGUCCGGGAGAGGUGAGUGGAACUGCGAGUGUAGAGGUGAAAUUCGUAGAUAUUCGCAAGAACACCAGUGGCGAAGGCGGCUCACUGGCCCGGUACUGACGCUGAGGUGCGAAAGCGUGGGGAGCAAACAGG
rnacentral:rRNA from 1 species